CUUAGGAUGAACGCUAGCGACAGGCUUAACACAUGCAAGUCGAGGGGUAACAGGGUAGCAAUACCGCUGACGACCGGCGCACGGGUGAGUAACGCGUAUGCAACCUGCCUAUAACUGGGGAAUAGCUCCCUGAAAGGGGAAUUAACACCGCAUAACACUAUUGAUUCGCAUGGAUUAGUAGUUAAAUGUAGCGAUACAGGUUAUAGAUGGGCAUGCGUGACAUUAGCUAGUUGGUGAGGUAACGGCUCACCAAGGCUACGAUGUCUAGGGGUUCUGAGAGGAAGGUCCCCACACUGGUACUGAGACACGGACCAGACUCCUACGGGAGGCAGCAGUGAGGAAUAUUGGUCAAUGGGCGCAAGCCUGAACCAGCCAUGUCGCGUGCAGGAAGACUGCCCCUAUGGGUUGUAAACUGCUUUUAUAGUAGAAGAAACACAUCUACGUGUAGAUGUCUGCCAGUAUACUAUGAAUAAGCAUCGGCUAACUCCGUGCCAGCAGCUGC
rnacentral:rRNA from 1 species